GAUGAACGCUGGCGGCGUGCCUAAUACAUGCAAGUCGAGCGAACGGACGAGAAGCUUGCUUUUCUGAUGUUAGCGGCGGACGGGUGAGUAACACGUGGAUAACAUAACUAUAAGACUGGGAUAACUUCGGCAAACAGUAGCUAAGACCCGAUAAUAUUUUGAACCGCAUGGUUCAAAAGUGGAAGACGGUCUUGCUGUCACUUAUAGCUGGAUCCGCGCUGCAUUAGCUAGUUGGUAAGGUGACGGCUUACCAAGGCAACGAUGGAUAGACGACCUGAGAGGGAGAUCGGCCACACGGUAACUGAGAAACAGUCCCGACUCCUAGGGGAGGCCGCAGUAGGGAAUCUUACGCAAUGGGCGAAAGGCUGACGGAGCAACGCCGGCUGAGUGAUGAAGGACUUCUGCUGAUAAAACUCUGUUAUUAGGGAAGAACAUAUGUGUAUGUACCUGUGCACAUCUUGACGGUACCUAAUCAGAAAGCCACGGCUAACUCCGUG
rnacentral:rRNA from 1 species